GCCAAGGUAGCUUAGUUGGGAGAGCAUUAGACUGAAGAUCUAAAAGUCCCUGAGCC
rnacentral:tRNA from 1 species